AAACCAAACACCUUGCGCGUCUGCACGAAAAUGUCCGUCAACGACAGCUGCAGGACUCAUGCAAGAUCAGCAGGAACUGGAAGAAGCAUCCUGAGCUGAGUCAUGGGUGAAUGACUGGACUAAGACACCCCACCAGAGACCACCUUAACCAGGCACCCGUCCAGACAGUUUGGCAGAAUCCAUCAUCUGAAGCACGUUCUGGGGAAUCAUUGAUUGUGUGGGUAAAACAUUCAAGUGCUUCUUCAUUGUUUGCCAGUGCUGCCCUGGGCCACCAUGGGUUCAGAAAGCCUAGAACCCAGCAAAACCCUCUUAAAGUCACACAACUUGACAUGACACAUUCGUAACACAUGACAAAUGAACAGAAACUAACAAUGUAUACAUGUAUAAAAAAAAGUCAAUCCUCAUUGAAAAGUUAUGCAUUUUUAUAAAUAUAUUGAUCUCGUCCAAACCUACUGAACUAUAUACAUAUUAUUUCUUUAAAAAAAUCUCUCUUUGGGUUGAUCCUUCCCAACAACCAGCUGAGAUGACGAGAAGACAUCUGCAUAGGUAUCACACAGGUGACCUGGACAUGAAAGCCAUCACAACACAUAGACACUUGGGGAUCUCCCGAAGGAGUUGAGGGUGCAUUCGGUCAGUCAGACAUCUACAGUACCACCACAGGGGCUUUACAGAUGAGUUGACCCAAACAGGGAAGCCCAGCAAAAAUGAAAGUGCACACAGGCAAUGAGAAAGCAGUGAGAUUGGAGGUAGAUUUUUCUCUUUUUGUUAUCAUGUCAAAUUGGAGAUGGCUGUAGAGUAUAGAUUGUGUGAAUGUGUUCCAAACAGCAGAACUGCCAUUAACACAAUGUGGAGUUGGGAUUGUCUCUGAGUGUUCUGUCACCCAAGACUUUUAAUUUGAAAGCGCACGCUCAAGAAUUAUUCACGUGCUUAUUUAUCCCAAUUUGAAAUGUCAUCAGGACAAUUACAGACAUACAGUACAUAUGCAUUAGGAAAUGUUCAACAAUCAAACCUGCACUAUUUAACCUUCAAACCUACACUACUUAACCUUUCACUGCAGACAUCCCUUUCAUUUAAAUGUAUGUUGCUCUCAAUAAGCCCAGGCAUGUUUUCUCUCUUAAUGGAGGUCAAAAAGCAUCAUUGCAGAGCACCUGGCUGUUGGCUGUGAAGAGGAAGUGUUCCCACUUUUCUAAAGCCAAGUGCAGCAAAGCAAUGCAUCCGAUGCAUCCGUUACAAAGUGCAGGUUUGAAACAACAAACAUUAUAAUUGGACCGUAACUAACUCCACUACCCAAAGGUUUAUUCAUCUGUCAGAG
ensembl:lncRNA